rnacentral:rRNA from 1 species
UACGUAGGGUGCGAGCGUUGUCCGGAAUCAUUGGGCGUAAAGAGCGCGUAGGCGGCCCAGUAAGUCCGCUCUGAAAGUCAGGGGCUCAACCCCUGAAUGCGGGUGGAUACUGCUGGGCUAGAGUCCGGAAGAGGCGAGUGGAAUUCCUGGUGUAGCGGUGAAAUGCGUAGAUAUCGAGAGGAACACCUGCGGCGAAGGCGGGUUGCUGGGCUGACACUGACGCUGAGGCGCGAAAGCUAGGGGAGCGAACGGG